ensembl:lncRNA
UUUGGGGAGCAUUUCUGUUUUAAUCUUAUGAAGAUAAAAGUUAUGUCCCCUAUGAAUGUGUUCAUUUUCAACUUUGAAUGGCAUACAUUUUUUUCAGAGAUCCUUAAGUUAAACUAAAUUUAGUGUCAGGAUCCAGCUAUGGGAGCAAACUGAUGAAUUUAAAUAAACUAUCUUGAUGGAAGAUGAACUAUAACUAUGGCAUACCCUUCCUUCUUCUAUGCCCAAAUAUCCUGAUCUUUAUGAGAAGCUUCUCUUGGCACUAUCCGGCUAUAGAGUUCUACCAACUUCUUCAUGUGGUUUCUUGAAACUCGAGCCUCAAGAACAUAUUUUCUUCCUUCUGACAGACUAUGGCUUCUGAAGUGCAUUCGUCCAAGGAUAUAAAUUGACUCCUAAGGCACCGUCAGUUUCACGUGGCUCUGCAGUCAAAUAGAACCAGCACUGUUUAAUGAAAAAGCUACAACUGCUGCGAUUUUGGACAUAGGUAACUUCUGUUUUCUGACAUGUACUUGCAACAAUGUAAGUCAGCAUUUUUCAUUUAACACAAUAUGAAUUCAAGAAAACAGUAAAACAUUGGAGGAAAAAAAAAAAUAAACAUGCACCAGAAGAAGUCAACAUGAGUGUCAGAGGAGUGGAGAAUGGAAGUCUCCUCUCUGUCUUAGAUGAUGCCUACUUGUCCUUCUUGACCAGUCAACAAUGGCCCCUUCUGAGUCUCCUCAUGUUUCAG